GGACAUGACCGCUGUCGGGGUGGGACUAAGCCAUGCGAGUCGUACGCCCUGAGCAAUGACAGGGCGUGGCGCACGGCUCCGUAAAACGUGGCUAAACUACCCCCAGGACGAGAAUAACCCCGGGAAACUGGGGCUAAUUCUCGAUAGGUGCAAAGUUCUGGAAUGACUUUGCGCCAAAAAGGACUAGGAUCAUGCUUCCUAGCUCCGCCUGGGGAUGUGGCCACGGCCUAUCAGGUAGUUGGUGGGGUAACGGCCCACCAAGCCGAUAACGGGUACGGGCCCUGAGAGGGGGAGCCCGGAGAUGGCCACUGAGACAAGGGGCCAGGCCCUACGGGGUGCAGCAGGCGCGAAACCUCCGCAAUGGGCGAAAGCCCGACGGGGUCACCUCGAGUCCCGCCUGCUGAAGGUGGGUUUUCCCUGGUCUAAAAAGCCAGGGGAAUAAGCGGGGGGCAAGUCUGGUGUCAGCCGCCGCGGUAACACCAGCUCCGCGAGUGGUCAUGACGUUUAUUGGGCUUAAAGCAUCCGUAGCCGGCUUGGUGUGUCUCUGGUUAAAUCUCACGGCCUAACCGUGAGACGCCAGAGAUACUACCAAGCUAGGGGGUGGGAGAAGCCGGGGGUACUCCAGGGGUAGGGGCAAAAUCCUAUAAUCCCUGGAGGACCACCAGUGGCGAAGGCGCCCGGCUAGAACACGCCCGACGGUGAGGGAUGAAAGCUGGGGGAGCGAACCGGAUUAGAUACCCGGGUAGUCCCAGCUGUAAACGAUGCAGGCUAGGUGUCGGGUGGGCUUAGUGCUCACCCGGUGCCGAAGCGAAAGCGUUAAACCUGCCGCCUGGGGAGUACGGUCGCAAGGCUGAAACUUAAAGGAAUUGGCGGGGGGGCACCACAAGGGGUGAAUGCUGCGGUUUAAUUGGAGUCAACGCCGGGAACCUUACCAGGGGCGACAGCAGAAUGAUGGCCAGGCUGACGACCUUGCCUGACACGCUGAGAGGAGGUGCAUGGCCGUCGCCAGUUCGUGCCGUGAGGUGUCCGGUUAAGUCCGGAAACGAACGAGACCCCUACCUCUAGUUGCUAGUAGGUCUCUGCGGAGACCUACGCAAUACUAGAGGGACUGCCGGCGUUAAGCCGGAGGAAGGAAGGGGCUACGGCAGGUCAGUAUGCCCCGAAACCCCUGGGCUACACGCGGCAUGCAAUGGUGAGGACAGAGGGUUUCAACCCCGAAAGGGGGAGGUAAUCCCUAAACCUCACCUAAGUUGGAAUCGAGGGCUGCAACUCGCCCUCGUGAAUACGAAAUCCCUAGUAACCGCGUGUCACCAUCGCGCGGUGAAUACGUCCCUGCCCCU
rnacentral:rRNA from 1 species